UCGCCUGUUUAUCAAAAACAUAGUUUAAAGAAAAUAUUUUAAAUUAAUCCUGCCCAGUGUAUUAUAUAAAUGGCCGCAGUACCUUGACUGUGCUAAGGUAGCAUAAUCAAUUGGCUUUUAAUUAAAGUCUGGAAUGAAUGGAUAAAUGAAGUCUUUCUGUCUUAUAAGUAUUUAUUUGAAUUUAUUUAAUAGGUGAAAAUACCUAAUUUUAGAAAAAAGACGAGAAGACCCUUAGAAUUUUUAAAAAUAAUUGGUAUAUCAAUUUAAUUUUUUUGUUGGGGCGACAAAUAAACAUUUAAACUUUAUUAAAAAUAUUUGACGAUUUUUUAUAGGAAAAAUUAAAUUACCUUAGGGAUAACAGCAUAAUUAAUUAAUUAGUUUGUGACCUCGAUGUUGGACUAAGAACUUUAUGACUAGCAGUCAAAAAAGAUUUGUUCUGUUCGAACAAUUUUAUCUUACGUGAUCUGAGUCCAGACCGGA
rnacentral:rRNA from 1 species